rnacentral:lncRNA from 1 species
CCUUAUUUCCUACACUCUCCCUUUCUCUCCCCGCCUCUUUUCCGCCUUUCUACUGACAGAUCUCAAUUCUGUUGCCACAAUUCUACAUAACUUUUAAUUGGGAGCUGAACCAAAAUUCCUAGUUUAGUUACUGAGCAAAACAACAUAAAGCAGAACUUAGGGAAAAUACUUGUCAACUGACAAACAUUCGAAAAAUAUUCCUUUGUCACAUCUGUCUGCAACCAACAGAAAUCUAUCACAAUGAAUUGCAAUUGGUUCUGGAGUAUUCUCUGGUUUAUAAUCUUAUUGGUGUUUGGCCUUCCAAUUGGCCUUCUCUGUGCUGUCCUGUUUGUCUUGAUCAGUCCAUGUGCAGCCUGCUGUAAUGGCUGUGUAGAGCUAAUGAACCUCUUGGACAGAGGACUCAAACUGCCACUGACUUGUGCACAAAACAUGGUUGUUGGUAAAUCUCCAUGUUAAAAAAAGGAAAGAAAAAUUUUUUUUUAAUCUAUGAAAUCCUGUCACCCGCCCCCUACCAACAUAACCGAUUCCUUCCAUCAUAAUUUAUAUAAAAACAUAAAAAAAACCUGUUUUCUUU